rnacentral:lncRNA from 1 species
CCCCCCCGUUUCCUGGCUUGAUGAAUUGCUGAGUGGCUUUCCUCCCCUGGACUCUUUCUCCGUUGCUGCCUCACCUUGGGUCCAGAGCAAUGGUGUUGGCAGUCUGUGGACUGAGACCUCUGAAACCCUGAGUCCCAAAUAAACUCUUCUUCCUCUAAGUUGUUCUGGUUGUGUGAUUUGGUCACAGUGAUGCAAAAGCUGACUAAAGCUGAUCCAUCAUCACCACCACCCAGCACAUUCCCCGUGGGGCCUGGGGAGGUACGCGUCCCCUCCCCUCUUCUUCUUAGGCUCUGCUGUGUCAGUCUCCUUCAGACAGGUGGGACAGCCUCUCACCCUUCAUUUUCACUGCCAGACCUCGAAUCCUGUACUCUGGGGCCAUUUCUGCCAUCUCGACCCACCCCAGCACUAGAAGGUUAAUAAGAAUAAUAACUAAAUUACAAGCAAAAUUGUUCUCCAGAUAGAUGACAACUUUGUACUCAGCAGAAAUGACCCUGGCUUAACGUAUCCUAAACAGUAGCAGAGUCUCCAUGGCAUAUCUUUCAAAACUGAAGAACGUUUCAGUAUUUUCAAAAUGUUACCAUCACAAGUUGAGGACACUGGCAGGAGAAGUAAUUUUGUGCCAAGUCUUUCUCUCUUAUUGCCAAACCCAUUAGAAGGCACUAACCUCCUUCCCAGAAGGCCACUCCCCUGCACACGGAGCAGUGGUCACUCUCAGCCAAGGACAGGAGAGUCCCCAUCUGAUUCAUUUUUAUGCUUAGGCUUUGAAGAGUAGGGAAUUGUUAUGAUCCUGGAAAAGCCUUUUAGAUGACUGCGUUUUAAUUCUUGAGAACAAUUUGGAAUAAAGACAUUAAGGAGGAGAUUAACUAGCUUUACAAUGCUUAUCAGAGUUAAAAGUUGAAAGGAGUAGGCUAUAAAAGCCAUAGAAGCUGGAAGGCGGCCCACAAGCAUGUACAUUUUAAAAGUUAUUCAUUGACUCUUGGAUAGGAGGGGCUUUUUCUUUUUUUAGUAACUACCCAGAAAGUCCGGAGCUCAGACUUAAAAAUAAAGCUUCAGGCACAUCCCAGCUCUUCCCAGCCCUCUGCUUGCAAAGCUAACAUGGCCUUGAGCAGUCUUAAUCCUGAACCUACCUGUGAAAUCCCCUUCUUCCAACAGGGGCAUAGUUCUGGCUGACUCUGGAGCCCAGCUGGUGCACGUGGAUUGGGAUCAAGAGGACAAGUUUGUGAAUCAAGGUCAGCAGUCACUGGCUUCAAACCUUAAAAUUCCCGACAGUGCUGCCGUCCUUGAGAAAAAUGUCUUUGGACUGAUUAUGGAUCCCUCUUUCCCAACAGGGGCUCUAGGCAAAGGGAAACUUUUGCUGGAGGAAACAGAAGCAUUGAAGACUCGUCUAUGCCAAGGCUUCUGCUAGAAUGAACUUAUCCAGUAAGUAUGCCCAAAGCCAAAGGCAGGUUUAUCUGGUGUGUUGUCAAAAUUUGGCUGGAAACAGGAGAAAACCAUGUGUACCACCAAAUUUCCUGGCUUCCCCAGGCACAGGGGCUCUUGAAGAGAUGUUGUGAUGGCCCUUUGUGAAUGUGCCCAGUCUGGAAAUGGACAAAUGCUGUACAGAAGGUAGGGCAUAUGUGAGUUCUGCCCUGUGGUAUCUGCAGAAAGUGGGCGAUUUUUAACAAAGCCAUGGGAGGAAGCCUGCAUGAUGACAGUGCAUGCCUUGAAAUGGACUAAACGUGUGGAAAAUUAAUGGACAAGGGGGCUUUUGAAAUUCUAAUGUAUAAGAAAUUUCUGGAAGGACUGAGUUUUUGAGUCUUUAAAACUUCCCAAGCAGCUGAGUUCCUGGGAACGGUCAGGGCCAAAUAUACCUUUUAACAGGUAUAUUCUCAAAAAAGACAUGAACAGAAUGGUUGAGGUCUUUGCUCAGUUGGAUAUCUGUGUGACACCUUCAGUAUUCAGUCUUUGGAUGAUAUUCCCCAACUCCUGAAGAAUAAAGAGCGCCCUUUUAUCACGUAUUGGCAGGAGGUGACAGUCUUCUGAAAACACCAGCUUUUGUCCUUUCCCAGGAAAGUCCACCUCUAGAACACUCAGAAGAGAAACCAGAAAAUAUGGAUUUGGCAAAGAAAUGGUAGCCCAACACCAUCCUUUGGAAGCGAUUAAAAGCAACCGGCCAACAACAAAUCAAUAAAAAGAGCCUAUUUUAUUUUAUCUUAUUAUUUUUUUUCAAAAAUACAGACAUUACUCUUUAUUACAACAAAAUGCUUAUCACAAUAUAAGUGCACAGGAAAUAUUUGAUUAGUGGUAUCUUUAAAAUUUAAUUUAACUGUGGUAAUAAAAUUUAAUCAUAAACCUGGCAAUAUGACAUAAAAAUCUCAAUUCUAAUAUUUGUAUCUAAUUAUAAAUAAAAAUGUGCUAAAAGGUUAAAUAAGGGUGCAUUGAAUUAAUAUCUUAUACUAAAAUUUAUAAACAAUAAAAAGCAUAAUACAAGAUUGAUUAUGUAAAAAUUUACAGUAUAUCUAUAAAAUAUAAUAUGCAUAGAAAAUGUCGGCUAUAUGUAAAAUUAAUUGAAGAGUUGACUACAAAUCAGACUGAACAGAAGUAAAGAAACAAAAAGGAAAUUCAUCAAAAUUAUUAAGAUAAUUAACUGCAUAUUGAAUUAUAGGCAAGUUUAUAGUCAAGAUUGAUAAAAAAGAAAAUCUAGAAAAGAGCCUAUUUUAUUAGUGAUCUGAUAUAUUUCAGUUUGUUUGUAAAAUUUGGGGAAAUCAUAAGCAUUUUCAUUUGGGUAGAGUUUCUUCUUAUGUUAAGAUAAAAACCUUGUGCUUUCAGAAAACUUCAGAAAUAUUUGCAUAUUUUAGCUGUUAGACUUCUAUGAUUUUUAUGUCAAAUAAAGGCUAUAAAAAUUAUAUGUUAUCAUUAUUUUAAUUGUAAUCCAAACCAGCAACAUAUUUGAUCAGUUUUCUACUUGAAGUAGCUCUAAAAAUGACACAUGUUCUUACAUGAACAUGCUUCCCAGAAGAAAGUCACCUACCUCUAUUUUCUUGGGUUUGCAGUAGUGAGGAAAGAGAGAGAGAGAGAGAUGGUUUAAAAUUUAAUCAUUAC